rnacentral:rRNA from 1 species
CCGUUACCGCGUUGCCUCGGCGGGCCCACUGGGGCCUGGCCCCGGUCGCCGGGGGGCUUCUGCCCCCGGGCCCGCGCCCGCCGACGCACCCUAGAACCCUGCCUGAAUAGUGAGUCUGAGUGAGAUUUGAAAUCAUUAAAACUUUCAACAACGGAUCUCUUGGUUCCGGCAUCGAUGAAGAACGCAGCGAAAUGCGAUAAGUAAUGUGAAUUGCAGAAUUCCGUGAAUCAUCGAAUCUUUGAACGCACAUUGCGCCCCCUGGCAUUCCGGGGGGCAUGCCUGUCCGAGCGUCAUUUCUGCCCUCCAGCACGGCUGGGUGUUGGGCGCUGUCCCCCCGGGGACACGCCCCAAAAGCAGUGGCGGCGCCGCGUCGGGUCCUCGAGCGUAUGGGGCUUUGUCACCCGCUCGGGAGGGACUCGGUCGGCGCUGGUCUUCCCUUUAGGCCGCCCUUCGGGGUGCGCCUCUUCCGGUUGACCUCGGAUCAGGUAGGGCUACCCGCUGAACUUAAGCAUAUCAUA